UUCACCCUUUAGCAUGUUUUAUUCUCUCCCUUAUAUCUUUUGUCACCGUGCCAGAAAAUUUUAAAUGUAUCCCUUCAAGUGGAGAUAAUCAAUGCAAAUCAGAGAACUGCUGUAUGCAUGGCAUGAGAGAAAGGAUUCAAUUCACUGCAAUUGCUGCCUGAUUUCACAAGGAAUUUUUCUCUAAGGGACUUAAAUUUCAUCUAAAUUACAAAGUCACUUGUAAAGAUCUCCAGAAAUGUAUAACUUAUCAUAUUGGCUUCUUGAUUGACCCCAGAUACUGCACUUCACCAAGAGACAGACAUGUUGGCUAUUCCAGGCCUAGAGAACAUUGAGACUGAAGGCAUCAGCUGGUGCACAAAACCACACGAUGCUUGGCUACUAAAGGCUCUGCACAAUUCCUGCUUUCUGUCUCACUCCAUCAGUACUUUGGCAAGAGACAUCUCAAUGCACUUCAUUCUAUUUUACCAUGCAGAAGAAAACUGCUGGAAUGUAGAUCAUAAUCCCUAUUUACUGGUGGUUUGGGAGGUAAUUGCCAACCUGCCUCACUUACCUGCGUGCUCGUGUGCAGAAGUAUUCCAUUGGUUUCCGUAAUUGUCGUUCCAAUUUUAGAAUGUUGUGUUAUAAUUUCUCUUCAUUCAUCAACUGCAUAGAACAUAUUAAUCAAGUAUUACUAUUCUUUUUAAUUUUAACCAUAAAGCAAAUCAGAGACUUUGAAAAGCAAAUACAAAGCUGGUUUUCCUUUAUAUUAAAACUUUUAAUGUAUGAUAAGUGUAUUCAAUGGAUUUGUGUGUUUCUUCCCAACAACAUGUUUGCAUGUACUAACACAAUUUGGCCCACAUUUUUCCCCUAUUCUCCCCUGCAAGUUUUCACCCAGCAGAGAAGCAUUUUCCUCUGGUAGGACUUUAUUGUGUCCCUCUGUACUGUUGUAGACAUGCUAUGUUUUAUGGACACCCAACUCCAACAUUCUACAGAAACAUUUAUUAGGUCAUACUGCAUGUCCGCAUUCUAACAGCAAGGGAUCAAAACAAAAUUAGUGCACUACAGAGAUUCGUUUCAGACUGCAAGAGCCAUGUAAAAAAAGGUAAAUGUUAUUAAAGUGUUCUAGCAUUAUACUUACAUAGAUACAUUAUUUUUUCAUUAAUGUUGCAUUUUUUUUAUGCUGUUUUCCUGAAAAUGCCAUUAGUCUGCUUACAUACACAUAAGCAAGAUAUUUAACCACUUUUAUAUAUCUAUUAUUGUCACAUUUACUAUAUUCUACAAAAAUGGUAUUCCAAUUACUGUGCUAAUAUUUCCAAUUCUUUCUGGAAUUAUUAUAAUUAUUAUUACAGAAUGCUUGGUUGUAUAGGGAGAGGUAUUUGCAGUAGAAAGAGAGAAGUUCUCAUGCCAUUGUACAGAACACUUGUGAGACCUUAC